ACAAAUGUAAGCAAUGUGGUGCAAUAUU
rnacentral:piRNA from 1 species